rnacentral:snRNA from 1 species
AAGGUGGAUAAAGUAGCUUAACC